rnacentral:lncRNA from 1 species
AUGGACCUUCCAGGACCUUCAACCCCAUUUUCUCUCUAUUGCCCUUCCAGGACCCUUCAUUUACUCUCUAUUGGCCUUCCAGGACCUUUCAUUUUCUCUCUAUUGAUCUUCCAGGACCUUUCAACCCCAUUUAUUCUCUAUUGCCCUUCCAGGACCUUUCAUUUACUCUCUAUGGUUCUUCCAGGACCUUCAACCCCAUUUACUCUCUAUUGCCCUUCCAGGACCCUUCAUUUACUCUCUAUUGCCCUUCCAGGACCUUACAACCCCAUUUACUCUCUAUUGCCCUUCCAGGACCUUUCAUUUACUCUCUAUUGCCCUUCCAGGACCUUACAGCCCCAUUUACUCUCUAUUGCCCUUCCAGGACCUUUCAUUUACUCUCUAUUGCCCUUCCAGGACCUUNCUCUCUAUUGCCCUUCCAGGACCUUACAGCCCCAUUUACUCUCUAUUGCCCUUCCAGGACCUUUCAUUUACUCUCUAUUGCCCUUCCAGGACCUUUCAUUUACUCUCUAUUGCCCUUCCAGGACCUUUCAUUUACUCUCUAUUGACCUUCCAGGACCUUUCAUUUACUCUCUAUUGACCUUCCAGGACCUUUCAUUUACUCUCUAUUGCCCUUCCUGGACCUUUCAACCCCAUUUUCUCUCUAUUCACCUUCCAGGACCCUUCAUUUACUCUCUAUGGCCCUUCCAGGACCCUUCAUUUACUCUCUAUUGCCCUUCCAGGACCUUUCAACCCCAUUUACUCUCUAUGGCCCUUCCAGGACCUUUCAUUUACUCUAUAUUGCCCUUCCAGGACCUUCAAUCCCAUUUACUCUCUAUUGACCUUCCAGGACCUUCAACCCCCUUUACUCUCUAUUGCCCUUCCAGGACCUUUCAUUUUCUCUCUAUUGAUCUUCCAGGACCUUUCAACCCCAUUUAUUCUCUAUUGACCUUCCAGGACCCUUCAUUUACUCUCUAUGGAACUUCCAGGACCUUUCAACCCCAUUUUCUCUCUAUUGCCCUUCCAGGACCCUUCAUUUUCUCUCUAUUGCCCUUCCAGGACCCUUCAUUUACUCUCUAUUGCCCUUCCAGGACCUUUCAAUCCCAUUUACUCUCUAUUCACCUUCCAGGACCUUUCAUUUACUCUCUACUGACCUUCCAGGACCUUUCAAUUCCAUUUACUCUCUAUGGCCCUUCCAGGACCUUUCAUUUACUCUCUAUUCACCUUCCAGGACCUUUCACUUUCUCUCUAUUGCCCUUCCAGGACCCUUCAUUUACUCUGUAUUGCCCUUCCAGGACCUUUCAAUCCCAUUUUCUCUCUAUUGCCCUUCCAGGACCCUUCAUUUCCUCUAUUGACCUUCCAGGACCUUUCAUUUCCUCUCUAUUGACCUUGCAGGACCCUUCCAACAUGGCCUCCAGGAUCAUAGAGUCACAAAGUGGUUUGCAUGGGAAAGGUCCUCCAGGAUCAUAG